CAAUGAAGCUCACCGACUUCCAGCACGACAGCAGCGCCGCCCGCCAGGCCACUGGCAUGACGUCGCGUGCCCGUCGACCGGAACCCCACAUUCUCGCUGGGUAAUCCGGAGCUUUCUGCUGUUCG
rnacentral:sRNA from 1 species